rnacentral:lncRNA from 1 species
AAGCAGAUCCUACAUACCUACCUACCCUACCUACCUACCUACCUGACGACCUACUUGACAUUCCACUAAUACUGCAACCCAAUCCAGUACAACCCAGUGGAAGAAUGACCAGAAAUGCAAAAAUAUUUCAAGAAACUAUGGGAUAUCUUCUCGUCGUAGUCAACAUGAGACACAUUCUCUUGAAGGUUCUACCGAAAAGCAAAGAGGGGGUGAUCGGAAAGGAGCAAAAUGUUCAAGAAAACACUUAAUGACUAACUGUAAUAACUGAAAAUGAAGGUUUUUCUAAUAAAGGCAAGUGCCAUACCGUAUUAAUAUAUUUUGUGAUUAUGCAUGUAUUAAUUAAUAAACGUUUUAAAAUUAAAA